UACGUAGGGAGCAAGCGUUGUCCGGAAUCAUUGGGCGUAAAGCGCGCGUAGGUGGCUCUAUAAGUCCGUUGUGAAAGUCAAAGGCUCAACCUUUGAAAGCCGAUGGAUACUGUAAAGCUAGAGUCCGGAAGAGGAGAGUGGAAUUCCUGGUGUAGCGGUGAAAUGCGCAGAUAUCAGGAGGAACACCCGUGGCGAAAGCGGCUCUCUGGGACGGUACUGACGCUGAGACGCGAAAGCGUGGGGAGCAAACAGG
rnacentral:rRNA from 1 species